CCUACGGGUGGCAGCAGUGGGGAAUAUUGGACAAUGGGCGAAAGCCUGAUCCAGCCAUGCCGCGUGUGUGAAGAAGGCCUUCGGGUUGUAAAGCACUUUCAGUGGGGAAGAAAGCCUUGGGGCUAAUACCCUCGAGGAAGGACAUCACCCACAGAAGAAGCACCGGCUAACUCCGUGCCAGCAGCCGCGGUAAUACGGAGGGUGCGAGCGUUAAUCGGAAUUACUGGGCGUAAAGCGCGCGUAGGCGGUCUGAUAAGCCAGUUGUGAAAGCCCCGGGCUCAACCUGGGAACGGCAUCCGGAACUGUCAGGCUAGAGUGCAGGAGAGGAAGGUAGAAUUCCCGGUGUAGCGGUGAAAUGCGUAGAGAUCGGGAGGAAUACCAGUGGCGAAGGCGGCCUUCUGGACUGACACUGACGCUGAGGUGCGAAAGCGUGGGUAGCAAACAGGAUUAGAUACCCCUGUAGUC
rnacentral:rRNA from 1 species